rnacentral:siRNA from 1 species
UGGGCCAGCAGAUAAUGGGCCUAG